GACGAACGCUGGCGGCGUGCUUAACACAUGCAAGUCGAACGAAGUGGCGAACGGGUGAGUAACGCGUAAUCAACCUGCCCUUCAGAGGGGGACAACAGUUGGAAACGACUGCUAAUACCGCAUAGAUGAGCCUAGGUCGGAUUAGCUAGUUGGUGGGGUAAAGGCCCACCAAGGCGAUGAUCAGUAGCCGGUCUGAGAGGAUGAACGGCCACAUUGGGACUGGUACACGGCCCAGACUCCUACGGGAGGCAGCAGUGGGGAAUCUUCCGCAAUGGACGAAAGUCUGACGGAGCAACGCCGCGUGAGUGAUGACGGCCUUCGGGUUGUAAAGCUCUGUUAAUCGGGACGCGGUACCGGAAUAGAAAGCCACGGCUAACUACGUGCCAGCAGCCGCGGUAAUAC
rnacentral:rRNA from 1 species